AGCCACCGCCAUCCAUCGCCAUGCAUGCCAAGCCCCAAAGCCUUCUUCCUCCCUCCCUCCCUCCCUCCCUUUCUUUCAACACAGCCCACCAACCCAACAUCGCAAUCCAUUCCUACUACUUUGUAUAUCUGCGCGCCCAUAUAUAAACGCAGCAUCGGCCAUGUACAGCGAAGAUAUUGUCGAGAAGGGCGAGGGCGAGGAGCAGGAGGUCCGCUGCUAAAUCUGGAAGUCGAUCAUUAGCCAUUUAUUUACUACUUACUCGGGAGCUAGGCAGGCCGGGGGUCAAUUACUCCGUCGGUUAUCUCAUCUAUCAGUUUCCGUCUCGAGCUUAAGUUACCAGGGAGGAGGAGGAGGAGGUUCACUUUUCGGAGGAGGCGCUGACCCAUUUCCAUUCUUGGAAACCCGUUACUCCGGCGAGCGAGGCCGGCCGCCGGUGGCCAUUCUUCGAGCGGGCAUCGGUCGAAGGGAUCGAGCAAGGUCGAUCGCACCGUCGGCGCUUGGCUUGGAGUUUCGUACGGGAGGCCGAUCGACCGACCGCGGGUUUCUUUCUUGGCGCGCGCGCGGGGCGGGCGGUCGCUGAGAUGAGCGAUGUCACCGGCAGGUUCGUGCUGGCCGCGGCCGUCGCGGUGGCGUCGCUGGUGAUGGCGGCGGCGGCGCGGCACGACUACGGGGACGCGCUGUCCAAGAGCCUGCUCUACUUCGAGUCGCAGCGGUCGGGCCGGCUGCCGUACAACCAGCGGGUGCGGUGGCGCGGCCACUCGGGGCUCACCGACGGGCUGGAGCAAGGGGUGGACCUCGUGGGAGGCUACUACGACGCCGGCGACCAUGUCAAGUUCGGCCUCCCCAUGGCCUUCACCGUCACCAUGCUCUCCUGGGCCGUCCUCGAGUACGGCGACCAGAUCGCCGCCGCCGGCGAGGGCGCCCACGCGCUGCAGUCCAUCAAGUGGGGCACCGACUACUUCAUCAAGGCGCACACCGCGCCCAACGAGCUCUGGACCCAGGUCAGUCAGUCAUCGAUCGACGCCGCCAUCGCCAUGACCGGCCGGCCGCGCAGAAUGUGAAGUGUAAACACGUACGUACACACGCUGCAUCUUUUCUGACCCGAUCGCGCAUACGUACAGGUCGGCGACGGCGACUCGGACCACUACUGCUGGCAGCGGCCGGAGGACAUGACGACGUCGCGGCGGGCCUACAAGGUGGACGCCGAGCACCCCGGCUCGGAGGUGGCCGCCGAAACCGCCGCCGCCAUGGCCGCCGCGUCCAUCGUGUUCCGGCGAGCCGGCGACGCGCACUACGCGCACCUCCUCCUCCACCACGCGCAGCAGGUACGCUGUCACGUACUACAUACUUGUCACACAAAAUUAAUUAAUCAACGUAAAGCAGAAAAUUCAGACUAGAUUAGCACCAGCUUAAUUUCCCUUUAAGCUUUUGUCAGCGCCCUUUACACAGAAUUCACGAUUAAAAAAUACGACACUCGAUCCACUAGCCGCAGCUGGGUCUGGUACGUGACAACGAGCAGCUCAACGUCCAUCGUACACACACACGCACACGCUUGACGCUUCGGCUAUACCGUAGUAUUUUUUACGUAUAUGUGUCGUCGUAUUUACUUAUACGUACGCGUAUUGCUAACUAAUUUGUACGUACGUAUGUAUAUUAUACGUGCAGCUGUUCGAGUUCGCGGACAAGUACCGGGGGCGGUACGACGCGAGCGUGCGGGUGGUGAAGAGCUACUACCCGUCGGCGAGCGGGUACAACGACGAGCUGCUGUGGGCGGCGCUGUGGCUGCACCGCGCCACCGGCGGCCGCGAGUACCUCGACUACGCCGUCGCCAACGCCGACGACUUCGGCGGCACCGGCUGGGG
rnacentral:lncRNA from 1 species